AGUCGAACGGCAGCACGGACUUCGGUCUGGUGGCGAGUGGCGAACGGGUGAGUAAUGUAUCCAGGUGUGCUGAUAGCGGGGGAUAACUACGCGAAAGCGUAGCUAAUGCCGCAUACGCCCUUCGGGGAAAGCGGGGACCUUCGGGCCUCGCACUAUUAGAGCGGCCGAUAUCGGAUUAGCUAGUUGGUGGGGUAACGGCUCACCAAGGCGACGAUCCGUAGCUGGUUUGAGGGACGACCAGCCACACUGGGACUGAGACACGGCCCAGACUCCUACGGGAGGCAGCAGUAGGGGAAUUUUGGACAAUGGGGGAAACCCUGAUCCAGCCAUCCCGCGUGUGCGAUGAAGGCCUUCGGGUUGUAAAGCACUUUUGGCAGGAAAGAAACGGCACGGGAUAAUACCCCGUGCAACUGACGGUACCUGCAGAAUAGCACCGGCUAACUACGUGCCAGCAGCCGCGGUAAUACGUAAGGUGCAAAAGCGUUAAUCGGAAUUACUGGGCGUAAAGCGAUAUGAGCGGUUCGGAAAGAAAGAUGUGAAAUCCGGAAAGCAACUUUGGAACUGCAUUUUUAACUACCGAGCUAGAGUGUGUCAGAGGUGGAAUUCCGCGUGUAGCAGUGGAAAUCGUAGAUAUGCGGAGGAACACCGAUGGCGAAGGCAGCCUCCUGGGAUAACCUUGACGCUCAUGCACGAAAGCGUAAGAACAAACAGGAUUAGAUACCCUGGUAGUCCACGCCCUAAGCGAUGUCAACUAGCUGUUGGGGCCUUCGGGCCUUGGUAGCGCAGCUAACCGCGUGAAGUUGACCGCCUGGGGAGUACGGUCGCAAGAUUAAAACUCAAAGGAAUUGACGGUUCCACCCAAGCGGUGGAUGAUGUGGAUUAAUUCGAUGCAACGCGAAAAACCUUCCACAUGACAUAUCUGGAAUCCCGAAGGGCCCAGAGUGCUCGCAAGAGAACCGGAACACAGGUGCUGCAUGGCUGUCGUCAGCUCGUGUCGUGAAUGUUGGGUUAAGUCCAUAACAGGCACAACCCUUGUCAUUAUUAGUUGCUACGAGGGCACUCUAAUGGCGAGACUGGUGACUCAAACCGGAGGAGAGAAUUCUGGAUGACGUCAAGUCUCCAUGGCCCUUAUGGGUAGACUUCACACGUCAUACAGUGGUCGGGACAGAGGGGUCGCCCAGCCCGCGAGGAGGCCAAUCCAGAAACCCGAUCGUAGUCCGGAUCGCAGUCUGCAACUCGACUGCGUGAAGUCGAAUCGCUGGUAAUCGCCGGAUCAGCAUGUCGCGGUGAGCGUUCCCGGGUCUUGUACACACCGCCCGUCACGCCGCUGGGAGUGGGUUUUACCAGAAGUAGUUAGCCUAACCGUAAGGAGGGCGAUUACCACGGUAGGAUUCAUGACUGGGGUGAAGUCGUGGGUGA
rnacentral:rRNA from 1 species